UUUCCUACGGGACGCAGCAGUGAGGAAUAUUGGUCAAUGGGCGCGAGCCUGAACCAGCCAAGUAGCGUGAAGGAUGACUGCCCUACGGGUUGUAAACUUCUUUUAUAAAGGAAUAAAGUGAGGCACGUGUGCCUUUUUGUAUGUACUUUAUGAAUAAGGAUCGGCUAACUCCGUGCCAGCAGCCGCGGUAAUACGGAGGAUCCGAGCGUUAUCCGGAUUUAUUGGGCGUAAAGGGAACGCAGGCGGUCUUUUAAGUCUGAUGUGAAAGCCUUCGGCUUAACCGGAGUAGUGCAUUGGAAACUGGG
rnacentral:rRNA from 1 species